UGGGGAAUAUUGCACAAUGGGGGAAACCCUGAUGCAGCGACGCAGCGUGCGGGAUGACGGCCUUCGGGUUGUAAACCGCUUUCAGCAGGGAAGAAGCGAAAGUGACGGUACCUGCAGAAGAAGUACCGGCUAACUACGUGCCAGCAGCCGCGGUAAUACGUAGGGUACGAGCGUUGUCCGGAAUUAUUGGGCGUAAAGAGCUCGUAGGUGGUUGGUCACGUCUGCUGUGGAAACGCAACGCUUAACGUUGCGCGUGCAGUGGGUACGGGCUGACUAGAGUGCAGUAGGGGAGUCUGGAAUUCCUGGUGUAGCGGUGAAAUGCGCAGAUAUCAGGAGGAACACCGGUGGCGAAGGCGGGACUCUGGGCUGUAACUGACACUGAGGAGCGAAAGCAUGGGGAGCAAACAGG
rnacentral:rRNA from 1 species